rnacentral:rRNA from 1 species
GUGCCAGCCGCCGCGGUAAUACCGGCAGCCCGAGUGAUGGCCGAUCUUAUUGGGCCUAAAGCGUCCGUAGCUGGCUGCGCAAGUCCGUCGGGAAAUCCACUCGCCCAACGAGUGGGCGUCCGACGGAAACUGCACAGCUUGGGACCGGAAGGCUCGAAGGGUACGUCCGGGGUAGGAGUGAAAUCCCGUAAUCCUGGACGGACCACCGGUGGCGAAAGCACGUCGGGAAGACGGAUCCGACGGUGAGGGACGAAAGCCAGGGUCUCCAACCGGAUUAGAAACCCUUUAGUCC